rnacentral:rRNA from 1 species
UACGUAGGGGGCAAGCGUUGUCCGGAAUCAUUGGGCGUAAAGAGCGUGUAGGCGGCCCGGUAAGUCCGUUGUGAAAUUCCUGGGCUCAACCUGGGGGCUGCGUUCGAUACGUGCGGACUAGAGUGGGGAAGAGGGUCGUGGAAUUCCCAGUGUAGAGGUGAAAUUCGUAGAUAUUGGGAAGAACACCGGUGGCGAAGGCGGCGACCUGGUCCGAUACUGACGCUGAGACGCGAAAGCGUGGGGAGCGAACAGGA